rnacentral:lncRNA from 1 species
ACCAGGGCUGGCUGGUAACCCAUGCAUAUGCAAGCUGCUCCAGUUGGCCGUCGCCACCUCAUCUACUCGCUAGCUUCCGUACGUAAGCACAACCGUAGAGCCCCUAUAACUUCUACAUCCGCCCACGCAUCCGCAUGCUCUGCCUCCGCUCUCUCCGAUUAGUUGACCUUUCUCACAAGUGCCACCUCAACCUUCCCUGGACCAGCCAAUUUUUAACUUUAUGGUACGCAUGUGUUCUUGUUUUGAUUUGUAUCCACUUGUAGGAACUAAAAAUGUACGCAUGUGUUCUCCUUUUGAUCUGUAUCUACGGCUAUCUAAAUCUUAUUAUCUAGGUGCCUAAAAAAUGUGCGCCAAGACGCCACCCCUGUGGCCGAACUCCUGCCUCCACUUGGCUCCGUCCGCAGUAGCACAUCACCUCCCUCGCCAUCCACCUGCUCGUGUUCAUAUUCUACAGGUGACCUUUUCUCCUCAUGCGUACUGACCUUCCUCCUCCUCCUGCUUCCUCCUCCCCUUUAGGAUGAUUGAACUCUGUCGCAUGGAGUAGUAGAACCACCGGUGUUGCCUGCUCCCAUUCCUUAUUUGUGCGCCUUGGCUUCUGGCGGUGCCACAAUGAGAAACAAACUCGUCCAAUUUUUCAGCGGGGGAUCACACUGUGGGUUUUGAGGGGUACUGAAGUUCAGAGUGAACGUGGAUUAAGGUUCAGAGAUGUGUUUUUAGUACAUUCAAAGAGGGGUUCCCCUUGUUUUUCUUUUCUUAGCCUCUUCAUAUUUUAUUAGAUAAUUUCCGAGACUAACAUUCCAUUGUAGCUUAUACUCUCAUGUGUGUACAAUUUUUUUGAUCAAGUAUACUCUGCAUCCUUGAAACUACUCGAACCUGAUCACAACUUGGUUAAGUCUUUGGUAUAGCAGAAAAUUUUAUAGCCAAACACAUUGCUCUCUGAAAAUUAUUAUAUUUGUGUGAAUAAGUUUUAACCAUAUGCGGAAAAAAAUAUGCGCAAAGCUCCACAUAGGCAAUUCUUGAUCCCUAGACCUGUUCGAUUAGUUAGAUGUGUGCAGAAAUAUUACAUGUAGUUCUUUGGGUUCCCUGCUUUCAUUUUGGUACAACUAUUGAUGAAAAAAUGUACCUAUAUAGAAAUGAUGGUUCAGUUCAAGAAAAAUGGAUGUUUACUAAUUUUUCGGUCUAAAGUUUCUUUGUGUUUUUAUAGCAGUUUGGUGUGUAUUUAUAUAGAAGAAGAAAAAACAACGGCACCUGCACCAGAGCAGCAGGACGACGCACACUCCCAGAGAUGGCGCAACAGCGCAUUCACCGUCUGUGCACAUGUGUGUGUAGUGCACUUGAGGGAGCACUCCCCUGUUGCUAUUCUGCACCUACGCCUCCCCAUGGAUCCCGUUCUCUUCUCAUGUUUUUGCUAUGAGUUUGUAAAU